rnacentral:rRNA from 1 species
UUACCAGCGGUUUGGCCGGGAACUCUAAGGAUACUGCCAGUGACAAACCGGAGGAAGGUGGGGAUGACGUCAAGUCAUCAUGGCCCUUACGGCCUGGGCUACACACGUGCUACAAUGGUCGGUACAAAGGGUUGCCAAGCCGCGAGGUGGAGCUAAUCCCAUAAAACCGAUCGUAGUCCGGAUCGCAGUCUGCAACUCGACUGCGUGAAGUCGGAAUCGCUAGUAAUCGUGAAUCAGAAUGUCACGGUGAAUACGUUCCCGGGCCUUGUACAC